rnacentral:sRNA from 1 species
AAGGGGGGGUGGAUGGUGUAGUGGUAAGCACUGUUCAUGGAAUGCUUUCUCAAGUAGGCACUUGGUGUUGGGGCCACCACUGCUGAGACAAGAAGGUAGUGGGUUCGAAUCCCACCCUCUCCAAAAGGAUAUUAUCACAUCUUGAUGGAUAUUGGGGGUACUCUUUCUUAUCUCAUUUCUAUUGGUAACUGCCACUGCAGGGUGGAGCAAUGUUCAACACUAUGUAUAUAGUCUAGAUGGAUUCAGUAUAGUGUGGGAUUCUAAGGUGUUGUGAUCCCUACAUGUCUAGUUCAGAUGCCAAGGGACUGCUUAGUAUUGCGUGAGCAAUUGUGGGGUCAAAGGCCCCCCUUGAGGGCUAGAUCCAGAAUGGUAUAGUGAAGUCUCUCCAUCAAGGAUGACUCAGUUAUGAAUAGGGGAAAUGUAACUAGAGAGUAGCCGAACAUAAGGGUAGGCUAGUGAGGUGAAGGCUGUCAUAGUCUCUGACUGCAUAUAGCCUUAGAAAAAAUAUGAAGAACAACAACAACAACAACAACAUCA